rnacentral:rRNA from 1 species
UACGUAGGUGGCAAGCGUUUGUCCGGAUUUACUGGGCGUAAAGAGCGCGCAGGCGGUCGUUCAAGUCGCGUGUGAAAGCCCCCGGCUCAACUGGGGAGGGUCACGCGAUACUGAUCGACUCGAAGGCAGGAGAGGGUAGUGGAAUUCCCGGUGUAGUGGUGAAAUGCGUAGAUAUCGGGAGGAACACCAGUGGCGAAGGCGACUACCUGGCCUGUUCUUGACGCUGAGGC